ACUCUCUCUGUUUCUUCACAUUUCACCCCAUCAGGACACCUAUGAAACAACAGGCUUCUGCAGCUGAUUGGAUGAGCGGAGACAGAGAGUGAGGUUAAAUAGAGCCCUAUUCAUCUAGGUCUACUACAUCCCCACUGGGUUUCCUUACACUGCUGGAGACGCAGCUUCACUGCUUCAACAACACGUUCUCACUGACUUGAGCUCUCUGACAGAGAUGAAAGAUGAGUGAGGCGCUCAGACGAGAGCGACGAGUCGAGCCAAGGCUACAGAGGGGGAUACAGAGGGGGCUACAGGGGACGGUACAUGCAGCAGCCUCGGGUCCAGCAGCCCGUCUUCCCCCCUUUCCCUCCCUUCCAAGGCUUCCCCAUGGCGUUCCCUCCCCCUCCUGCCUUCCCCUUCUCGCCCCCCGGGCUCCUCCCUGGUGCUGGGGGGGACCCCAUCGGCCGACGUCAUCGUGACUUAUUAAUCAACUGUAUCAAUACCGAAAUGUAUUUAUCAAUGCAAUAAA